AGUGAACGCUGGCGGCGUGCCUAAUACAUGCAAGUCGAACGGAGUGGCGCACGGGUGAGUAAUAUAUAGCUAAUCUGCCCCUUGCUGGAGGACAACAGUUAGAAAUGACUGUUAAAACUCCAUAGCAAGGGAUGAGACUAUAUCGUAUCAGCUAGUCGGUGGGGUAACGGCCGACCGAGGCGAUGACGCGUAACUGGUCUGAGAGGAUGAUCAGUCACAUUGGAAGGGAGACACGGGCCGGACUCCUAGGGGAGGCAGCAGAAGGGAAUAUAGCGCAAUGGGGGAAUCCCAGACGGAGCAACGCCGCGUGGAGGAUGACACUUUGCGAGGCGUGAACUCCUGUUAUUAGGGAAGCGGUACCUAACGAAGAAGCACCGGCUAACUCCGUGCCAGCAGCCGCGGUAAUAC
rnacentral:rRNA from 1 species